AAUUGAGAUGUCUGGUCGUACAUGGGACGCAGGGGGGCGACCUGAGCUCCUCACCAAGCCCUAGUUCAUCACAUAUUUCACAAAAUUGAGGGCUCAAAUCAAGCUGAAAUCGAAAAUCGAGCAUAGAUUAUUGAUCCUCAUCACAAGAGGAUUUCAAGUUGGCGCUUAAACAAGCCAGGUGAAGCUUGGAGUGAAAGCGGGUCAAACGAGUCAAGCAUAGAAGAAAAGCGUAGCUCGGAUGCAAGGUGAAUGUCGAGAGUGCACGGAUGAAGAUCAAGCGUCGAGCAAGAACCGAACACGAUUACGAAAUAAGCUUCCGCGCUAUGUAUCGUUAUUAUGUUAAACGACGAACGUACACGUGAUAUGUUGUAUACUUUUAAAUUGUAAAAAGUUUUUAACGAACCCGUAAUU